rnacentral:SRP_RNA from 1 species
GCCGGGCGUGGUGGUGCACGCCUGUAAUCCCAGCUACUCAGGAGGCUGAGCCAGGAGAAUCACUUGAACCCAGGAGGCGGAGGUUGCAGUGAGCCGAGAUCGUGCCGUUGCACUCCAGCCUGGGUGACAGAGUGAGACUCUGUCUCAA